GACGAACGCUGGCGGCGUGCCUAAUACAUGCAAGUGGGACGCAAGGAAACACACUGUGCUUGCACACCGUGUUUUCUUGAGUCGCGAACGGGUGAGUAACGCGUAGGUAACCUGCCUAUUAGCGGGGGAUAACUAUUGGAAACGAUAGCUAAUACCGCAUAAUAUUAAUUAUUGCAUGAUAAUUGAUUGAAAGAUGCAAGCGCAUCACUAGUAGAUGGACCUGCGUUGUAUUAGCUAGUUGGUAAGGUAAGAGCUUACCAAGGCGACGAUACAUAGCCGACCUGAGAGGGUGAUCGGCCACACUGGGACUGAGACACGGCCCAGACUCCUACGGGAGGCAGCAGUAGGGAAUCUUCGGCAAUGGACGAAAGUCUGACCGAGCAACGCCGCGUGAGUGAAGAAGGUUUUCGGAUCGUAAAGCUCUGUUGUAAGUCAAGAACGUGUGUGAGAGUGGAAAGUUCACACAGUGACGGUAGCUUACCAGAAAGGGACGGCUAACUACGUGCCAGCAGCCGCGGUAAUACGUAGGUCCCGAGCGUUGUCCGGAUUUAUUGGGCGUAAAGGGAGCGCAGGCGGUCAGGAAAGUCUGGAGUAAAAGGCUAUGGCUCAACCGUAGUGUGCUCUGGAAACUGUCUGACUUGAGUGCAGAAGGGGAGAGUGGAAUUCCAUGUGUAGCGGUGAAAUGCGUAGAUAUAUGGAGGAACACCAGUGGCGAAAGCGGCUCUCUGGUCUGUCACUGACGCUGAGGCUCGAAAGCGUGGGUAGCGAACAGGAUUAGAUACCCUGGUAGUCCACGCCGUAAACGAUGAGUGCUAGGUGUUAGGCCCUUUCCGGGGCUUAGUGCCGGAGCUAACGCAAUAAGCACUCCGCCUGGGGAGUACGACCGCAAGGUUGAAACUCAGAGGAAUUGACGGGGGCCCGCACAAGCGGUGGAGCAUGUGGUUUAAUUCGAAGCAACGCGAAGAACCUUACCAGGUCUUGACAUCCCGAUGCUAUUCUUAGAGAUAGGAAGUUACUUCGGUACAUCGGAGACAGGUGGUGCAUGGUUGUCGUCAGCUCGUGUCGUGAGAUGUUGGGUUAAGUCCCGCAACGAGCGCAACCCUUAUUGUUAGUUGCCAUCAUUAAGUUGGGCACUCUAGCGAGACUGCCGGUAAUAAACCGGAGGAAGGUGGGGAUGACGUCAAAUCAUCAUGCCCCUUAUGACCUGGGCUACACACGUGCUACAAUGGUCGGUACAACGAGUUGCGAGCCGGUGACGGCAAGCUAAUCUCUGAAAGCCGAUCUCAGUUCGGAUUGGAGGCUGCAACUCGCCUCCAUGAAGUCGGAAUCGCUAGUAAUCGCGGAUCAGCACGCCGCGGUGAAUACGUUCCCGGGCCU
rnacentral:rRNA from 1 species